rnacentral:misc_RNA from 1 species
AUUUGAUUACUCCAAAUCUGCGGCAAAAGCUAUUUGAUUAGAGUAUUCGAUUGUAUGAGAAUGCAGAAAUCCCAAAAAUCAAUGAAAAUGGGGCCAACGGAGGGACCACAGAAGCUUCAUUAGUGGUGUGCAAUGAGGACUUUAAUUUUGGUAGAGUUGUUGAUCAAGAUCAUGGAUGCGCACCAAAACUAGACUUAAUCUAUUUAUGAGAAUAUAAAAAUAGAAUGGCUUCCAUGUCUUGACAGGCUCUGCUAGGUAUUGAAUGUGGAUUAAUAAAACACCUACAGACGUGUUAGGGG